rnacentral:misc_RNA from 1 species
CAUGAGUUGCAAAAGCUCCCAACCAUUGUGAACCUACCUAUCGUUGCUUCGGCGGGGAGCCCUCAGCGGCCCCGCCCCCCCUCGGGGAGGCACCCGCCGGAGGCAUCCAAACUAUAGCAUACUAGUGCCUCUCUGAUUAGCUUAUAAAUAAGUCA